GGGGCGGUAGCUCAGUUGGGAGAGCGCUAGAAUCGCACUCUAGAGGUCGGGGGUUCAAAUCCCCUCCGCUCCA
rnacentral:tRNA from 1 species